rnacentral:rRNA from 1 species
CUUGGUCAUUUAGAGGAAGUAAAAGUCGUAACAAGGUUUCCGUAGGUGAACCUGCGGAAGGAUCAUUACAGAAUAAACUUGAUGGGUUGUAGCUGGUUCUCUCGGGAGCAUGUGCUCGCCUGUCACUUUUGUUUUUCCACCUGUGCACCAUUUGUAGCCUUGGAAUUAUAAAACUAUCUGAAUGCUUUCAGUAUGAGGGUUUGCUGGGCCACACUUGGCUAAGCUUCCCUUGCUGGUUUCAAGGCUAUGUUUUCUUUUAUACACCCCUGUAGUAUGCCUCAGAAUGAUAUUCAAGGGCCCUAGUGCCUAUAAAGUUUAUACAACUUUCAGCAACGGAUCUCUUGGCUCUCGCAUCGAUGAAGAACGCAGCGAAAUGCGAUAAGUAAUGUGAAUUGCAGAAUUCAGUGAAUCAUCGAAUCUUUGAACGCACCUUGCGCUCCUUGGUAUUCCGAGGAGCAUGCCUGUUUGAGUGUCAUUAAAUUCUCAACCCCUGGAUCUUUCUCGGGGCUUGGACUUGGAGUGUGCUGGCAUCUGGUCGGCUCCUCUCAAAUGCAUCGGCGGAAUUGAACCUUUGGUGUCCGUGCAUCAGUGUGAUAAUUAAUGUUGCGCKGUCGUCGGUCAUGGAAGUCCGCUUAUAAUGGUCUUCGGACAAACCCUUCAUCAAAUUUGACCUCAAAUCAGGUAGGACUACCCGCUGAACUUAAGCAUAUCAAUAAGCGGAGGA